rnacentral:rRNA from 1 species
GACGAACGCUGGCGGCGUGCUUAACACAUGCAAGUCGAACGGAAAGGCCCUGCUUUUGUGGGGUGCUCGAGUGGCGAACGGGUGAGUAACACGUGAGUAACCUGCCCUUGACUUUGGGAUAACUUCAGGAAACUGGGGCUAAUACCGGAUAGGAGAUCCUGCUGCAUGGUGGGGGAUGGAAAGAUUCGGCUGUUGGGGAUGGAAGCGCGGCUUAUCCGCUUGUUGGUGGGGUAGUGGCUUACCAAGGCUUUGGCGGGUCGCCGGCCUGGGAGGGUGGCCGGCCACCUUGCUCCUGCGGUACGCCCCAGACUCCUACGUUCGGCAGCGGUGGGGAAUAUUGCGCAAUGGGCCGGCGCCUGUUGCAGCAACCCCGCGUGCGUAAUGACGUCUUUCGGGUUGUGAACCACUUUCGCCUGUGCCGAAGCCUGAGUGACGGUACUGGGUAAAGAAGCCCCGGCUAACUACGUG